rnacentral:rRNA from 1 species
ACCACCGAGAUCUACACUCUUUCCCUACACGACGCUCUUCCGAUCUCUGAGCUGUGAUGGCGAGCGAAAUAUAGUAGCGAAGUUCCUGAUUCCACACUGCCAAGAAAAGCCUCUAGCGAGGUGAGAGGUGCCCGUACCGCAAACCGACACAGGUAGGCGAGGAGAGAAUCCUAAGGUGAUCGAGAGAACUCUCGUUAAGGAACUCGGCAAAAUGACCCCGUAACUUCGGGAGAAGGGGUGCUCUGUUAGGGUGCAAGCCCGAGAGAGCCGCAGUGAAUAGGCCCAGGCGACUGUUUAGCAAAAACACAGGUCUCUGCGAAGCCGUAAGGCGAAGUAUAGGGGCUGACGCCUGCCCGGUGCUGGAAGGUUAAGAGGAGCGCUUAGCGUAAGCGAAGGUGCGAAUUGAAGCCCCAGUAAACGGCGGCCGUAACAAUAACGGUCCUAAGGUAGCGAAAUUCCUUGUCGGGUAAGUUCCGACCCGCACGAAAGGCGCAACGAUCUGGGCACUGUCUCAACGAGAGACUCGGUGAAAUUAUAGUACCUGUGAAGAUGCAGGUUACCCGCGACAGGACGGAAAGACCCCGUGGAGCUUUACUGCAGCCUGAUAUUGAAUGUUGGUACAGCUUGUACAGGAUAGGUAGGAGCCUUGGAAACCGGAGCGCCAGCUUCGGUGGAGGCAUCGGUGGGAUACUACCCUGGCUGUAUUGACCUUCUAACCCGCCGCCCUUAUCGGGCGGGGAGACAGUGUCAGGUGGGCAGUUUGACUGGGGCGGUCGCCUCCUAAAAGGUAACGGAGGCGCCCAAAGGUUCCCUCAGAAUGGUUGGAAAUCAUUCGCAGAGUGUAAAGGCACAAGGGAGCUUGACUGCGAGACCUACAAGUCGAGCAGGGACGAAAGUCGGGCUUAGUGAUCCGGUGGUUCCGCAUGGAAGGGCCAUCGCUCAACGGAUAAAAGCUACCCUGGGGAUAACAGGCUGAUCUCCCCCAAGAGUCCACAUCGACGGGGAGGUUUGGCACCUCGAUGUCGGCUCAUCGCAUCCUGGGGCUGUAGUCGGUCCCAAGGGUUGGGCUGUUCGCCCAUUAAAGCGGUACGCGAGCUGGGUUCAGAACGUCGUGAGACAGUUCGGUCCCUAUCCGUCGCGGGCGCAGGAAAUUUGAGAGGAGCUGUCCUUAGUACGAGAGGACCGGGAUGGACGCACCGCUGGUGUACCAGUUGUUCUGCCAAGGGCAUCGCUGGGUAGCUAUGUGCGGACGGGAUAAGUGCUGAAAGCAUCUAAGCAUGAAGCCCCCCUCAAGAUGAGAUUUCCCAUUCCGCAAGGAAGUAAGAUCCCUGAAAGAUGAUCAGGUUGAUAGGUCUGAGGUGGAAGUGUGGCGACACAUGGAGCUGACAGAUACUAAUCGAUCGAGGAGAUCGGAAG